rnacentral:rRNA from 1 species
GACGAACGCUGGCGGCGUGCCUAAUACAUGCAAGUCGAGCGGAUUGAUGGGAGCUUGCUCCCUGAUAUCAGCGGCGGACGGGUGAGUAACACGUGGGCAACCUGCCUAUAAGACUGGGAUAACUUCGGGAAACCGGAGCUAAUACCGGAUAAUCCCUUUCAUCUCAUGAGGAAAGGCUGAAAGAUGGUUUACGCUAUCACUUAUAGAUGGGCACGCGGCGCAUUAGCUAGUUGGUGAGGUAACGGCUCACCAAGGCAACGAUGCGUAGCCGACCUGAGAGGGUGAUCGGCCACACUGGGACUGAGACACGGCCCAGACUCCUACGGGAGGCAGCAGUAGGGAAUCUUCCGCAAUGGACGAAAGUCUGACGGAGCAACGCCGCGUGAGUGAUGAAGGUUUUCGGAUCGUAAAACUCUGUUGUUAGGGAAGAACAAGUACGAGAGUAACUGCUCGUACCUUGACGGUACCUAACCAGAAAGCCACGGCUAACUACGUGCCAGCCGCCGCGGUAA